rnacentral:rRNA from 1 species
GAGUUUGAUCGUGGCUCAGAGUGAACGCUGGCGGCAGGCCUAACACAUGCAAGUCGAACGGCAGCGCAGCAGUAGCAAUACUGUGGGCGGCGAGUGGCGGACGGGUGAGGAAUACAUCGGAAUCUACCUUGUCGUGGGGGAUAACGUAGGGAAACUUACGCUAAUACCGCAUACGAACUACGGUUGAAAGCGGCGGACCGCAAGGCGUCGCGCGAUUGGAUGAGCCGAUGUCCGAUUAGCUAGUUGGCGGGGUAAAGGCCCACCAAGGCGACGAUCGGUAGCUGGUCUGAGAGGAUGAUCAGCCACACUGGAACUGAGACACGGUCCAGACUCCUACGGGAGGCAGCAGUGGGGAAUAUUGGACAAUGGGCGCAAGCCUGAUCCAGCCAUGCCGCGUGUGUGAAGAAGGCCUUC